AGUAUGCAUUAAUCGACUCAUCCCUUUUACUGACGAUGUGCUCUUGGCCUUAACUGGCUGGGUCGUGUCUUUGACACUGUUACUUUAAAGAAAUUAGAAUGCUCAAAGCAAGCCUAUGCUCUGUAUACAUUAGCAUGGGAUAACAUUAUAGGAUUUUAGUCUAUUCUAUUGGCCUUCGGGAUUAGAGUAAUGAUUAAUAGGGACAGUUAGGGGCAUUCAUAUUUUAUAAUCAGAAAUGAAAUUCUUAGAUUUAUGAAAGACAAACAAUUGUGAAAGUAUUUGUCGAAGAUGUUUCAUUAAUCAAGAACAAAAGUUGGGGGCUUGAAGAUGAUUAGAUACCAUCCUAGUCUCAACUAUAAACGAUACCGACUAGGGAUCAAUUGAUGUUACUUUUAAAACUCCGCUAGUAGCUUAUGAGAAAUCAAUGUCUUUGGGUUCUGAAGGGAGUAUGGUUGCAAGGCUAAAACUUAAAGGAAUUGACAAAAAGGCAUCACCAUGAGUGGAGCCUACGACUUAAUUUGACUUAACACGGGGAAACUUACCAGGUCUAGACAUAAUAAGAAUUGAUAGACUGAGAGCUCUUUCUUGAUUCUAUGGGUGGUGGUGCAUGGUCGUUCUUAGUUGGUAGAAUGAUUUGUCUGGUUAAUUCUGUUAACGAACGAGACCUCAACCUAUUAACUAGCUAUGUGAAGGUGACCCUUCGUGUCUAGCUUCUUAGAGGGACUAUAGC
rnacentral:rRNA from 1 species